GUUCUCCCCGCAGGUGCUGCAUGGAGUGAGUGGCGGCAUCCACCGUGAGGAGGAGAGGAGCUCUGAUACCCUCAGGACCCGCCAGGAGGGGCAUCACGGAGGCUUCUGGACGACUUGGAGCUGUGUCCUGGGGAGAAAACCGCUCCUGUCUGGGCCCUGAGUGCUGAGGAGGAAGCUGCCAUGCACUUUUCCCUGGCAUUUUUCCUGCAUGGUUCGUCUGUGUUUUUGCAAAUGACAUGUUGUCAUGAAUUUUUAUGCAUGAGGCAUAUUUCAUCAUGUCUGUAUGCUGAAGUCCCUUCAUCCUUUCAUUGGUUGGUGGACAGGAGAGAGAGGUCCAAGGUGCCCUACAUCGUGCGUCAGUGCGUGGAGGAGAUCGAGCGCCGAGGCAUGGAGGAGAUAACAAGGACGUGUCAGUGAUGAUGAGCGAGAUGGACGUGAACGCCAUCGCAGGCAUGCUGAAGCUGUACUUCCGUGAGCUGCCCGAGCCCCUCUUCACUGACGAGUUCUACCCCAACUUCGCAGAGGGCAUCGCUCUUUCAGACCCAGUUGCAAAGAAGAGCUGCAUGCUCAACCUGCUGUCGUCCCUGCCGGAGGCCAACCUGCUCACCUUCCUUUUCCUUCUAGACCACCUGGAAAGGAUGGCAGAGAAGGAGGCAGUCAAUAAGAUGUCCCUGCACAACCUUGGCACGGUGUUUGGCCCCACGCUGCUCCGGCCCUCCGAGAAGGAGAGCAAGCUCCCUGCCAACCCCAGCCAGCCCAUCACCAUGACUGACAGCUGGUCCUUGGAGGUCAUGUCCCAGGUCGAGGUGCUGCUGUACUUCUUGCGGCUGGAGGCCAUCCCUGCCCUGGACAGCAAGGGACAGAGCAUCCUGUUCUCCACCGAUGUCUAAAGGUCCCAGUCCAUCUCCUGGAGGCGGACAGACGGCCUGGAAACCUCUGGCUAAUCAGGCCAUCUGUAGAGUGGGAAUCAAGAUUUUCUGAGGCAUCCUUGGGCCACCCCCAGGUGUCAGGCCAUCUGCCAAGAGACAGCGGCCCAAAGCAGAAGGACAGGUGGCCUGGGCAGAUCCCGCCCAGGUCUGAAAGCCCCAGGCUGGCCUCAGACUGUGGGUUUUUUAUGUGGCCACCCGAGGGCGCCCCAAACCAGUUCAUCUCGGAGUCCAGGCCUGGCCCUGGGAGACAGGGUGAAAGCAGUGGUUUUUAUGAACUUAACUUAUAGAGUCCAAAAGAUUUCUACUGAAUCACUUGUCAAGAAGCGCCCUCUCUGGGGAGAAGGGAACGUGACUGGAUUCCCUCACUGUUGUAUCUUGAAUAAACGCUGCUGCUUCAUCCUG
rnacentral:lncRNA from 1 species